rnacentral:rRNA from 1 species
AAUAGAUACCCAGGUAGUCCACGCCGUAAACGAUGAGUGCUAAGUGUUGGGGGGUUUCCGCCCCUCAGUGCUGCAGCUAACGCAUUAAGCACUCCGCCUGGGGAGUACGGUCGCAAGACUGAAACUCAAAGGAAUUGACGGGGGCCCGCACAAGCGGUGGAGCAUGUGGUUUAAUUCGAAGCAACGCGAAGAACCUUACCAGGUCUUGACAUCCCGGUGACCACUAUGGAGACAUAGUUUCCCCUUCGGGGGCAACGGUGACAGGUGGUGCAUGGUUGUCGUCAGCUCGUGUCGUGAGAUGUUGGGUUAAGUCCCGCAACGAGCGCAACCCUUAUUCUUAGUUGCCAUCAUUCAGUUGGGCACUCUAAGGAGAUUGCCGGUGAUAAACCGGAGGAAGGUGGGGAUGACGUCAAAUCAUCAUGCCCCUUAUGACCUGGGCUACACACGUGCUACAAUGGACGGUACAAACGGUUGCCAACCCGCGAGGGGAGCUAAUCCGAUAAAACCGUUCUCAGUUCGGAUUGUAGGCUGCAACUCGCCUACA